AACGAACGCUGGCGGCAGGCCUAACACAUGCAAGUCGAGCGAGGACUUCGGUCCUAGCGGCGGACGGGUGAGUAACGCGUGGGAACGUGCCCUUUGCUUCGGAAUAGCCCUGGGAAACUGGGAGUAAUACCGGAUGAGCCCUUUGGGGGAAAGAUUCAUCGGCGAAGGAUCGGCCCGCGUUGGAUUAGGUAGUUGGUGGGGUAAUGGCCUACCACGCCGACGAUCCAUAGCUGGGUUGAGAGGAUGAUCAGCCACACUGGGAGGGGGACGCGGCCCAGACUCCUACGGGAGGCAGCAGUGGGGGAUCUUAGACAAUGGGGGAAAUCCUGAUCUAGCCAUGCCGCGUGAGCGAUGAAGGCCUUAGGGUUGUAAAGCUCUUUCAGCUGGGAAGAUAAUGACGGUACCAGCAGAAGAAGCCCCGGCUAACUCCGUG
rnacentral:rRNA from 1 species